UUACCGAGUCUCGAACUCACCAAACCCCUGUGAACAUACCAGUGUUGCUUCGGCGGUCGACCCCUCCGCCCACCCCUCACCGGGCUGGGCGGCGUGGUUCCGCCAGAGGACCAUAUCAAAACUCUUGUUUUUUCCCAGAAAGGAUUCCGCUCUGAGUAAACCAAAGAAAACCAUUAAAACUUUCAACAACGGAUCUCUUGGCUCUGGCAUCGAUGAAGAACGCAGCGAAAUGCGAUAAGUAAUGCGAAUUGCAGAUUUCAGUGAAUCAUCGAAUCUUUGAACGCACAUUGCGCCCGCCAGUAUUCUGGCGGGCAUGCCUGUUCGAGCGUCAUUUCAACCCUCAAGCCCCCGGGCUUGGCGUUGGGGAUCGGCAGCCGACGGGAGCCCUCGCGGCGCCCGGAGCCGUCCCCCAAAUCCAUCGGCGGUCACGCCGCGGCGUCCCCUGCGUAGUACUGCACCUCGCACCGGACCGCGGCCUGGCCACGCCGUAAAACCCCCGACUUUUAUCGUGGUUGACCUCGAAUCAGGUAGGACUACCCGCUGAACUUAAGCAUAUCAAUAAGCGGAGGAAAAGAAACCAACAGGGAUUGCCCCAGUAACGGCGAGUGAAGCGGCAACAGCUCAAAUUUGAAAUCUGGCCCCCGGGUCCGAGUUGUAAUUUGUAGAGGAAGCUUUUGGUGCGGCACCUUCCGAGUCCCCUGGAACGGGACGCCAUAGAGGGUGAGAGCCCCGUCCGGUCGGAUGCCAAUCCUCUGUAAAGCUCCUUCGACGAGUCGAGUAGUUUGGGAAUGCUGCUCUAAAUGGGAGGUAUAUGUCUUCUAAAGCUAAAUACCGGCCAGAGACCGAUAGCGCACAAGUAGAGUGAUCGAAAGAUGAAAAGCACUUUGAAAAGAGAGUUAAAAAGUACGUGAAAUUGUUGAAAGGGAAGCGCUCAUGACCAGACGUGGGCUUGGUUGAUCAACCUGGGUUCUCCCUGGUGCACUCUUCCUUGCCCAGGCCAGCAUCAGUUUGCCUCGGGGGAUAAAGGCGUCGGGAAUGUGGCUCCCCCGGGAGUGUUAUAGCCCGUUGCGUAAUACCCUGCGGCAGAC
rnacentral:rRNA from 1 species